CCAAAUGCCGGUUAUGCUUAGAUAUCGAAUGUGAAGUCAUCGUACCGUGCAAUCUGAAGUUGGAAGUUCGAUGAGGGCUGUCACUAAAGCACGAGUGCUUAUUCUCUGAGUAGAUGCAACUUGUAAAUAUACUCAACAAAGUUUUUUUUGGCACUGAUUUCCAGUGGCCGUUCAAGGAUCCAUCCAUCGUUUGCAGAGGUGGUGCUGGUGGUUAUGAUUUAAAUACAGGUGAGAAGAGCCCUGCCUGACCCAAACGUGAGCGGUGGUGGUUGAAAGGAACAGCUGAAGGGAGCGGAGCGCAGGUGCGAGAUUGUCUAGUUGAGAAGAAACGGGACGGAUUUAAACUCGUGGCUGACGUGGGCAAUAAUGGCCAACCAAAUUGAGAUGGAACCCAUGGAAUUCUUGCAGAGCUGCUUACAGCAUCUGGACAAGCACUAUCGCGAUGCGAGCAUGUUAAAGCCCCCACACAGCAGAAGCUGUCAACGUGCAGCGAACGCCGGCGAAGCUGCGGGAGGAGUAUUUGGCUGCCACCCUGGUUUCGCCGCCGUUCGGAAGCUCCGCGGGAGGCUCCGCGGUCUCGCCGAGCGCCGCUCGCGGCUGCUGCUCGCUAGGGACCGCGUUCGGUGCUUGGCCUCCGCCUCCGCGUUUGCGCGCCGGGCGGCCGGGCUGCUGGGCUGCGAGCGGAAAGGGCUCCGCGUCCUGCGUGCCCAGCUGCAGGCCGGCGGCAGGACGCCACCCGCGCAGUGCCAACCGCGAGCCCGACUGCUGAACGGACUCACCCAGGAGCUGAUGGAUUUCUCGGCUCGGUGGAGCGGGCUUUGCCGGAGUGCGAUGAGCGACUUGGACGUGCCGACUCGCGUGCAGACGGCCGCAAGCUGCCCUGAAACGAUGGACAGUUGGACCUGCAGCAUUCUGCCUCGGCCGAUGUGCUGCUUUAACAUUUUCCCUUUGGCCAAGCAGGCGCUGCAGGGAUUGACUUGCAUGGAGAAAUUGCUGAGCACCAGACUAUGCCUAAUUGCCAUAUGCCCUCAGGUCACGUUGGAAAACGAUGUCUGCAAAUCCAUUGCGGAGUUUAACAAAACGGUGCUGGAGUUAAAGGCUAGCGAUAUUUUUGAUUGCUUAAUUUACAAGACUGUUUGUGUUUAUGACCUGCCGGGCAAUGCUCAUGGACACUGUCUGCAGAGUGCAGAGUUUAAUGUGAAGGUUUUCUCCAUGGAAAGGAUUCUCAAGACGCUGGCAAACGAACGUGCAUCAACGUGCGCGCUGACUCUGCACGACACAAUCUCACAAGUUAAGACCGCUUUUAAAACGGGGAGAAACGCAAAAAAUCGUUGGUUCAAGUGACAAUCCAGAAGGAGACUGUCAUUAUUUGGAAAGUUUUUCUAGCUCUGAUGGUAAUCAGGCAACAUUAGGCCAGAUGCUCUCCAAUGACAGUGCGGGUUUUAAGAGUAAAACUGUUGAUUCUUCCAAGAAAGCACCAGGCAUUGUUCGUGACCUUAAACAGCAGUUUUUUUAUGAAUAUGAUUUCAUUCACAAUAUUUUGCCAAAUCUUACAUGUGUCACAAACCUUCCAUUUGCUCAUUCUGAUUUUCGAAAGACACAACAGUCAUACACAAGCAUAAGGGGUGCAAAAUGGAUUAACAGCAACGAUGAUAGCCACUUUGAAUCACACAGCCAAGCAGUGGACCAAGGUAAGGUGGUAGACACUGCUCGUGCCAUGGCACUGAGGGACGGGAAACACUUGGCCUGGCAAUACCAGCAAUGGUUGUGGCAUGCACUGUCGUGGAGUCUCGUGGAAUGUCUCUUCUCACUGGUUCCAGUCAAAAGCCACAGUUGUGGUGAGAGUCUGGGCUAUCUCCCCUACCACCCUGCCUCUGUGGUGUCCACCCUGGUUGAAGACCUCCAGAAGGCAAGCAGGCAAGAGGAUUUGCAGUUGGAGUGUCGGAACUGUUUACAAGCCCUCUCCGCAUACGCGCAAGCUUGGCUUGCCAUUACGUGCUGGGACACAGAGUUUUGUCAAGCUCUGGGCUCAACCUUGAGCAAUCGCCAUUCCCUGGAUGAUGAGGGAGCCGGUGUCUGCAGAACCAGAACGGCCAGGAUGUUCCAUCAAUCAUUGCUUCCUCUUCGAUCUGUGAUGGGCAAGUAACACAUUCAUUUAUAUUACCUUACCUCACCCCACUGACUCACAAGCGAUAAGGCUGCUCAUGAAUAAACUCAGAUGAUCAUCAACUCAGGUUAUCACCAUUUUAGGUUGUAUAAAAUGAAUACCACCUUGCGAGAAGCCAACUGUCGUUUGUGCUAUAGAAUGAUUCCAACAACAAUUUGUAAUGUAUACUACUGGCUAAGGUCCCCCAAUGGAGAUGAAUUCUGCCCAAUAUUCAUGAAAAUGGGGACACAUGAUUUAGUUGUACCUUACGUGGGGUUGUGGCGGUUAGCAUACCACGUUUUGAACCCAUGGCUAACACACUAGUAGUGAGUGAUAUCUGAACAGGUCCUGGGCCUCCCACUUCACUAACCCGCACUGAUGAACAUGGCGAUCAAAUAAAUAACCUCCAUGACCAACCUGGCCUGGAGGAGGCCUCAUCCAGCAGCAGUGUGAUAAUUCAUUAUG